UAAUACACCUUAUCGCUAUUUAGUCCAUUCCGGGAAAAACAGUCAUUUAUACAACUUCCUGUUUGAGGUCACCGGCCGAAAAACGGAGGUCAUCAGUAGUGAGCUGAGGAAGAAAAAACUUUAGAAAGUGAUCAUCAAGAAACUUUGAUAUUGUAUGAUCCACUUUUUUUCGAAAUUAAAAUUGAAGUAAAAAAAUAUUUUGUUUGAAGUAUUUACGGUAGUUUAAACAGGUCUCAUUAAAAAGUAUCAUGCAUAGUGAAUUGUUUAAACAGGGUCCCAGAUAGCUUCAACUGGAUGAAAAAGUUGUGUAAUUUUAGAACUUAUCCGGAAUGGAAUGAAUAGC
rnacentral:lncRNA from 1 species